UGCCAGCAGCCGCGGUAAUACGUAGGGUGCGAGCGUUGUCCGGAAUUAUUGGGCGUAAAGGGCUCGUAGGCGGUUUGUCGCGUCGGGAGUGAAAACAUCUAGCUUAACUGGGUGCUUGCUUUCGAUACGGGCAGACUUGAGGUAUGCAGGGGAGAAUGGAAUUCCUGGUGUAGCGGUGAAAUGCGCAGAUAUCAGGAGGAACACCGGUGGCGAAGGCGGUUCUCUGGGCAUUACCUGACGCUGAGGAGCGAAAGUGUGGGGAGCGAACAGGAUUAGAUACCCUGGUAGUCCACACCGUAAACGUUGGGCGCUAGGUGUGGGACCUAUUCCAUGGGUUCCGUGCCGUAGCUAACGCAUUAAGCGCCCCGCCUGGGGAGUACGGCCGCAAGGCUAAAACUCAAAGGAAUUGACGGGGGCCCGCACAAG
rnacentral:rRNA from 1 species